GGUUAAGCGACUAAGCGUACACGGUGGAUGCCCUGGCAGUCAGAGGCGAUGAAGGACGUGCUAAUCUGCGAUAAGCGUCGGUAAGGUGAUAUGAACCGUUAUAACCGGCGAUUUCCGAAUGGGGAAACCCAGUGUGAUUCGUCACACUAUCAUUAACUGAAUCCAUAGGUUAAUGAGGCGAACCGGGGGAACUGAAACAUCUAAGUACCCCGAGGAAAAGAAAUCAACCGAGAUUCCCCCAGUAGCGGCGAGCGAACGGGGAGCAGCCCAGAGCCUGAAUCAGUGUGUGUGUUAGUGGAAGCGUCUGGAAAGGCGCGCGAUACAGGGUGACAGCCCCGUACACAAAAAUGCACAUGCUGUGAGCUCGAUGAGUAGGGCGGGACACGUGGUAUCCUGUCUGAAUAUGGGGGGACCAUCCUCCAAGGCUAAAUACUCCUGACUGACCGAUAGUGAACCAGUAC
rnacentral:rRNA from 1 species